rnacentral:rRNA from 1 species
UUUAUGGAGAGUUUGAUCCUGGCUCAGGAUGAACGCUGGCGGCGUGCCUAAUACAUGCAAGUCGAGCGAACGGACGAGAAGCUUGCUUCUCUGAUGUUAGCGGCGGACGGGUGAGUAACACGUGGAUAACCUACCUAUAAGACUGGGAUAACUUCGGGAAACCGGAGCUAAUACCGGAUGAUAUUUUGAACCGCAUGGUUCAAAAGUGAAAGACGGUCUUGCUGUCACUUAUAGAUGGAUCCGCGCUGCAUUAGCUAGUUGGUAAGGUAACGGCUUACCAAGGCAACGAUGCAUAGCCGACCUGAGAGGGUGAUCGGCCACACUGGAACUGAGACACGGUCCAGACUCCUACGGGAGGCAGCAGUAGGGAAUCUUCCGCAAUG